CCUGGAAGCUAGUUGCUCCAACGCAACUGUGUUGGGAGAGUUUCACCUGGUAGCCUUGAAGGUAGUUUGCUCCAACGCAACUGUGUUGGGAGCGUUUCACCUGGUAGCCUGGAAGGUAGUUUGCUCCAACGCAACUGUGUUGGGAGCGUUUCACCUGGUAGCCUGGAAGGUAGUUUGCUCCAACGCAACUGUGUUGGGAGCGUUUCACCUGGUAGCUUGGAAGGUAGUUUGCUCCAACGCAACUGUGUUGGGAGCGUUUCACCUGGUAGGGUGGAAGCUAUUUGCUCCAACGCAACUGUGUUGGGAGCGUUUCACCUGGUAGCCUGGAAGGUAGUUUGCUCCAACGCAACUGUGUUGGGAGCGUUUCACCUGGUAGCUUGGAAGGUAGUUUGCUCCAACGCAACUGUGUUG
ensembl:lncRNA